AGUCGCCAUUUGCAUCUUUCUUUCUUGCUGAAGCUUUCUGAGGGGUAGGUUGUUUUUGCUCAUUUCUACCUCUUUUUGUUCAAAAGGGACGUAUUACAGUGGUUAUGGGGGGCACACUUCGGUAUAUCAAGCAAUUGGAGGACAUAUUUUGUGGAGCAUUUGUUUUAGGAAGUUCGGAAAAUGUAAUGCUGCUCAAGCUGCCCAAAAGGUGAAGCUGUGUAGGACCGUGGUUUAUUUCAGAACGAAAGUGUUUACAUGCUGAUGCCUUAAGAAGCUAUCAACAGUGCUUCAGGAGCCAUAUUUUUACGAUGGACUGAUCGUAUCUGGAAAUUUUGUUAUCUUUAGACAACAUAUUUUUAGUUGGCCUCCAUUAAGAAAUGAGGUGCGAAGGAGAGGGACCUGAUUCAGAAAUUCAUGUUUUUUUGCAACGAAACCAACACCGGUUUAGGAUUCAACGCGACAUGACUUGAGAGUGCUCGUGACUGUAAAAUUGAAUGGUUUAAUAAAUCGUAUCAUAGUU